GAUGAACGCUGGCGGCGUGCCUAAUACAUGCAAGUCGAGCGAACGGACGAGAAGCUUGCUUUUCUGAUGUUAGCGGCGGACGGGUGAGUAACACGUGGAUAACCUACCUAUAAGACUGGGAUAGCUUCGGGAAACCGGUGCUAAUACCGGAUAAUAUUUUGAACCGCAUGGUUCAAAAGUGAAAGACGGUCUUGCUGUCACUUAUAGAUGGAUCCGCGCUGCAUUAGCUAGUUGGUAAGGUAACGGCUUACCAAGGCAACGAUGCAUAGCCGACCUGAGAGGGUGAUCGGCCACACUGGAACUGAGACACGGUCCAGACUCCUACGGGAGGCAGCAGUAGGGAAUCUUCCGCAAUGGGCGAAAGCCUGACGGAGCAACGCCGCGUGAGUGAUGAAGGUCUUCGGAUCGUAAAACUCUGUUAUUAGGGAAGAACAUAUGUGUAAGUAACUGUGCACAUCUUGACGGUACCUAAUCAGAAAGCCACGGCUAACUACGUG
rnacentral:rRNA from 1 species